rnacentral:rRNA from 1 species
UACAGAGGUCCCAAGCGUUGUUCGGAUUCAUUGGGCGUAAAGGGUGCGUAGGUGGCGCCGUAAGUCGGGUGUGAAAUUUCGGAGCUUAACUCCGAAACUGCAUUCGAUACUGCGGUGCUUGAGGACUGGAGAGGAGACUGGGAAUUCAUGGUGUAGCAGUGAAAUGCGUAGAGAUCAUGAGGAAGACCAGUGGCGAAGGCGGGUCUCUGGACAGUUCCUGACACUGAGACACGAAGGCCAGGGGAGCAAACGGG